UAGAUACCCUGGUAGUCCAUGCCGUAAACGAUGUCAACUAGUUGUUGGGAGACUUGAUCUCUUAGUGACGCAGCUAACGCAUUAAGUUGACCGCCUGGGGAGUACGGUCGCAAGACUAAAACUCAAAUGAAUUGACGGGGGCCCGCACAAGCGGUGGAGCAUGUGGUUUAAUUCGAUGCAACGCGAAGAACCUUACCUACUCUUGACAUCUAGCGAACCCUGUAGAGAUACGGGGGUGCCUUCGGGAAUG
rnacentral:rRNA from 1 species